CAACAUGGCCGGUACCUAGGUCGAACAAUCGGCCUUCCCAAAAGUCAGCUCGAUAGCUUUCUCCAUUGAAAUACUUCAACCAUUUUAUACGAGGUUUCGAACCCAAAGCAGUAAAGGACAUUUCAAUGAUUCGGAUUUAGUAGAAGGCGAACUGAAAAUUUCCGCAUGCAAAAGCAGAUUAGGAACUAUGUUAUGUAAAUUGUAUCCAAUGUAAAUAAAACUUGGUAAGGUAGAAUGUUAUAAGCCGUGGAUCUGCCUAUCCUGAUGCAGUUACUAGUCGGCCGAACACUUAUCAGAAGUAGAAAGAGCAAUGACAUUGCUUACUUAUCACUUAUAUUAGUCAGAGCGUAGAUAGUUCAUUCACACAUAAAAGGUGUUCGUAUAGUGACUGUUUUUGUAUCUCAUUAUACAGAACUUGCUCAGCUGGAAAUCUCGAGUGUGAUUCUUAGUUAGUCUUUAUAUUAGUUAAAGUGUACAUACUUUCUCCACAUGUACUGGGUGUUUAUAUCUUGUCUGUGUUUGCCUCUCAUCAUACAGAAUACUGGGUGUUUAUAUCUUGUCUGUGUUUGUCUCUCGUCAAACAGAAUACAGAGUGUUUAUAUCUUUCCUGUGUUUGUCUCUCAUCAUACAGAACUUUCUCAGCUGGAAAACCCGAGUGUGAUUCCUACAAUGAUAGCAGAGCAUGACAAAGAAACUCAAAAAGUUUUAAAGACCAUAGACGAUAUUGCCAAGAAACAUAAAGUUGAACAUACAGUGUAACGUUUACACCAGCCGGCGGGAGAGUCGAUAGUGAAGGCAGCUAGAGACCACAAAGCUGAUAUCAUUGUAUGUGGCACUCGGGGUAGUGGUGCGAUACGUAGGACUAUAAUGGGUAGCGUGAGCAACUACAUAGUUCACCAUUCACAUGUACCCGUCCUAGUAUGCAAAUUUGAAGACGUUACCUCUGAAUAGAUUAGUCAGAUUAUGGGAGUAUCAGUUGUAACGUACGAAAGCGUAAUUUUGGAGUAUUGUUUGAAUGUAAAGAAUCAACUUUUCAUUUUAAAAUUAUGAUACUUUGUGUACAAAACAGAUGGUUUCCCUUCAGUCAUAAUAAAUAUAUUUAUCAAAUGGCG